AAACCGUUGAAAGGGAAGCGAAUGGAACUUAAAAUUCGCUUUGCCAGAUUCAGUCCCUUGCGUCCUCCAACGUGAGUGUUCUCGAUCUUUUUAGACGGGACGCGUACGGACGGCGGAACGUGGGCGGUGCAUUUCUGGUAGGCGAGCGUCAACAUCACUUGGCCGCGAGUUAGAAAGCUGCGAGGAAGGUAGGUCCUUCGGGAUCGUUAAGCCUUGCCAGCAAAUAACUCGAGGCCGACUGUGGCUUGUCGCAACGCGUGCCUCCCCUCGGGGCAGGCUGGUGUCUUGUUUUGUUGGUAUGGUCGGCGAUGGCGACGGACGACGGUUGCCUGUGCGUCCGAACUGCGGCCUGUCGACAGGAUGGUGAACAUACACCACGCGUUGAGGAUGCUGACGAAAAUAGUGCUCCAUCCGACCCGUCUUGAAACACGGACCAAGGAGUCUAACAUGUGCGCGAGUCGAUGGGUGAUCGAAACCUUUGGGCGUAAUGAAAGUAAAGGCAGUCUCGACUGCUGAGAUGAGAGGCCCUUCCGUUUCGGAGGGGCCGCAUCAUCGACCGACCUCUUCUACUCUUAGAAAGGUUUGAGUAAGAGCGUGCCUGUUGGGACCCGAAAGAUGGUGAACUAUGCCUGAACAGGGUGAAGCCAGCGGAAACACUGG
rnacentral:rRNA from 1 species